rnacentral:tRNA from 1 species
GCCCCUGUAGCUCAGAGGAUAGAGCACCAGCCUCCGGAGCUGGGGGCGAGCGUUCGAGUCGCUCCAGGGGCG